UACGGAGGGUGCAAGCGUUAAUCGGAAUUACUGGGCGUAAAGCGUGCGCAGGCGGUUUGUUAAGUCCGCUGUGAAAUCCCCGAGCUCAACUUGGGAAUUGCAGUGGAUACUGGCAAGCUGGAGUAUGGUAGAGGAAGGUGAAAUUCCCGGUGUAGCAGUGAAAUGCGUAGAGAUCGGGAGGAACACCAGUGGCGAAGGCGGCCUUCUGGACCAAUACUGACGCUCAUGCACGAAAGCGUGGGGAGCAAACAGG
rnacentral:rRNA from 1 species